AUUUCCUUCGGGACUGAUUAUUUUGUGACUGAGUGGCGGACGGGUGAGUAACGCGUGGGUAACCUGCCUUGUACAGGGGGAUAACAGUUGGAAACGGCUGCUAAUACCGCAUAAGCGCACAGUACCACAUGGUACAGUGUGAAAAACUCCGGUGGUAUGAGAUGGCCUCGCGUCCGAUUAGCUAGUUGGUGAGGUAACGGCCCACCAAGGCGACGAUCAGUAGCCGGCCUGAGAGGGUGAACGGCCACAUUGGGACUGAGACACGGCCCAGACUCC
rnacentral:rRNA from 1 species